GCCAGGUAUGGUGGUGUGUGCCUGUAGUCCCAGCUGCCUGGGGGGCUGAGGCAGGAGAAUCACUUGAGCCCAGGAGGUUGUGGCACCAGUGAGCCAUGUUCGCACCACUGCACUCCAGCCUGGGCGACAAAGUGAGACCCUGUCUCAA
rnacentral:SRP_RNA from 1 species